rnacentral:rRNA from 1 species
UACGUAGGGUGCGAGCGUUAAUCGGAAUUACUGGGCGUAAAGCGUGCGCAGGCGGCUUCGCAAGUCAGACGUGAAAUCCCCGGGCUUAACCUGGGAACUGCAUUUGUGACUGCACGGCUAGAGUGUGUCAGAGGGGGGUAGAAUUCCACGUGUAGCAGUGAAAUGCGUAGAUAUGUGGAGGAAUACCGAUGGCGAAGGCAGCCCCCUGGGAUAACACUGACGCUCAUGCACGAAAGCGUGGGGAGCAAACAGG